rnacentral:tRNA from 1 species
GCCGAAGUGGUGAAACUGGUAAACACAGCGGACUCAAAAUCCGCCGGGGGCAACUUCUUGAGGGUUCAAGUCCCUCCUUCGGCA